AACCGUAAAAUUGCAGUUGAAACUGGCAGUCUUGAGUACAGUAGAGGUGGGCGGAAUUCGUGGUGUAGCGGUGAAAUGCUUAGAUAUCACGAAGAACUCCGAUUGCGAAGGCAGCUCACUAGACUGUUACUGACACUGAUGCUCGAAAGUGUGGGUAUCAAACAGGAUUAGAUACCCUGGUAGUCCACACAGUAAACGAUGAAUACUCGCUGUUUGCGAUAUACAGUAAGCGGCCAAGCGAAAGCAUUAAGUAUUCCACCUGGGGAGUACGCCGGCAACGGUGAAACUCAAAGGAAUUGACGGGGGCCCGCACAAGCGGAGGAACAUGUGGUUUAAUUCGAUGAUACGCGAGGAACCUUACCCGGGCUCAAAUUGCAACAGAAUAUAUUGGAAACAGUAUAGCCGUAAGGCUGUUGUGAAGGUGCUGCAUGGUUGUCGUCAGCUCGUGCCGUGAGGUGUCGGCUUAAGUGCCAUAACGAGCGCAACCCUUAUCUUUAGUUACUAACAGGUCAUGCUGAGGACUCUAGAGAGACUGCCGUCGUAAGAUGUGAGGAAGGUGGGGAUGACGUCAAAUCAGCACGGCCCUUACGUCCGGGGCUACACACGUGUUACAAUGGGGGGUACAGAAGGCGGCUACCUGGUGACAGGAUGCUAAUCCCAAAAACCUCUCUCAGUUCGGAUCGAAGUCUGCAACCCGACUUCGUGAAGCUGGAUUCGCUAGUAAUCGCGCAUCAGCCAUGGCGCGGUGAAUACGUUCCCGGGCCUUGUACACACCGCCCGUCAAGCCAUGAAAGCCGGGGGUACCUGAAGUACGUAACCGCAAGGAGCGUCCUAGGGUAAAACUGGUAAUUGGGGC
rnacentral:rRNA from 1 species